AUGCGAAGCAAGCGCGUCACUCGGAGAAGAUGCCUCCGGCUUAAUCUGGAUCCUUUGUUCCUACACUAUUUGGAGAAGUAUAUGUGCAGUGUGCCGUGCCACUUUGGUGUGAGCGCUGGUUUGGACGGCACGAUGGCCAUGCGUGCCACCUUUAGAAUUCGCGACGACAACUACUUGUACGCCGCUGAUAUCUGGAGUCUCGGGCUGACGGUACUGGAGUGUGCUACCGGUAAAUUUCCCUAUGAUUUCAAAGAUGCAUAUUCACCGAAGUUCCGUUCAUUUAUAGAUGACUGCUUGCAGAAAGAGCCUGAUGAAAGGAAGGGGUCUACAUGUGAGCAGCUUUUGUCACACCCAUUCAUCAAGAGGUAUGAGGAAGCCGGUGUCGACUUGGCGGCAUACGUCGGGGGUGUUGUGAAUCCAACAGAAAGGUUGAAGCAAAUAGCAGAGAUGCUUGUUGUUCAUUAUUACCUUCUGUUCAAUGGCUCUGAUGGAUCCUGGCAUCAUAUGAAGACACCGUACAUGGAAGAAUCAUCUUUCCGCUUCUCAGGGAAUGUGUAUGUCGGGCAAAGUGCCAUAUUUGAUACUUUGUCAACCAUAAGAAACAAGUUUAAAGGUGAUCAGCCUAGUGGGGGGAUUUUUCAUGUUGUUGAGAAGAUACAUUGUGGUGCAGAUGGGGAAAGAGAGAUCACCGUUCGUGUGUCUGGAUCAUUCAUUGUGGGCAACCAAUUUCUAAUACUUGGUGAAGGGCUGCAAGCUGAAGGGAUGCCCAGCCCAGACGAGCUCGCAAUUGACAUUCCAAGCAAUCGGGCAGGCCAGUUCCGGGAGCAGUUCAUCAUGCAGCCAGGGAUUUCCAUGGAAUGCUACUACAUACCAAGACAAGAUCUCUCCAUCAGCUAG
rnacentral:rRNA from 1 species